GAUGAACGCUGGCGGCGUGCCUAAUACAUGCAAGUCGAGCGAACGGACGAGAAGCUUGCUUCUCUGAUGUUAGCGGCGGACGGGUGAGUAACACGUGGAUAACCUACCUAUAAGACUGGGAUAACUUCGGGAAACCGGAGCUAAUACCGGAUGAUAUUUUGAACCGCAUGGUUCAAAAGUGAAAGACGGUCUUGCUGUCACUUAUAGAUGGAUCCGCGCUGCAUUAGCUAGUUGGUAAGGUAACGGCUUACCAAGGCAACGCUGCAUAGCCGACCUGAGAGGGACAUCGGCCACACUGGAACUGAGACGCGGUCCAGACUCCUACGGGAGGCAGCAGUAGAGAAUCGUCCGCAAUGGGCGAAAGUCUGACGGAGCAACGCCGCGUGAGUGAUGAAGGUCUUCGGAUCGUAAAACUCUGUUAUUAGGGAAGAACAUAUGUGUAAGUAACUGUGCACAUCGUGACGGUACCAAAUCAGAAAGCCAGGUCUAUCUACG
rnacentral:rRNA from 1 species